GAUGAACGCUGGCUACAGGCUUAACACAUGCAAGUCGAGGGGAAACGACGGGGAAGCUUGCUUCCCCGGGCGUCGACCGGCGCACGGGUGAGUAACGCGUAUCCAACCUGCCUCUGACUGAGGGAUAACCCGUCGAAAGUCGGCCUAAUACCUCAUGGCAUCGUCUGCGGGCAUCCAACGACGAUUAAAGAUUUCAUCGGUCAGGGAUGGGGAUGCGUCUGAUUAGCUUGUUGGCGGGGUAACGGCCCACCAAGGCUACGAUCAGUAGGGGUUCUGAGAGGAAGGUCCCCCACAUUGGAACUGAGACACGGUCCAAACUCCUACGGGAGGCAGCAGUGAGGAAUAUUCGUCAAUGGGCGGGAGCCUGAACCAGCCAAGUAGCGUGCAGGAUGACGGCCCUAUGGGUUGUAAACUGCUUUUAUGCGGGGAUAAAGUGAGGGACGUGUCCUUCAUUGCAGGUACCGCAUGAAUAAGGACCGGCUAAUUCCGUG
rnacentral:rRNA from 1 species